CAAGAGGCCAGCAGGACACCUGCAGGGAGAGAAAGCAGGUAGCCGGGGCUGAUGGCAGCCCUUAUCAUCAUCAAAGCCUGUAAGUGACACUCUCCACACGAAACUGUUCGCCGCCCCCUCCUCCUCCUCCUUCUCCUCCUCCUCCUUCACCAUUGCCGUGGCAACUUUACUUCCUGUCCUAAUGUGUGUCCUGUUGUGAUUGUCGUCCCCGCCCCAUAUUGGUCAUUCAUGUGCACCAGUGGACCCACGAUGAUACAGACUUGAGCUUGUUUGAUGCAGUAGUAUAACAGCUUUAAGAGUUUAUAGUUCAUGUUGCCAAGCAGCUGUCAAUCAAUGUAAGUCAAGCACACAGACCCAAAAUAGAUUAAACAAAAAAUGUAACAGAGAUGGAUUUAUUAUUUUGCCCUUUAAAGCUCCUGUGAGUAACUUUCAGUGUGUCC